GACGAACGCUGGCGGCGUGCUUAACACAUGCAAGUCGAACGAGGUCCACUGCGUAGCAAUACAAGGGAAGACCUAGUGGCGAACGGGUGCGUAACACGUGAGGAACUUGUCCCGGUCUCUGGGAUAACAGUUGGAAACGACUGCUAAUACCGGAUGACGUCGGAAUCUCGCAUGGGAUACUGACGAAAGGGUUACUGGAUCGGGAGAGCCUCGCGGCCUAUCAGCUUGUUGGUGAGGUAACGGCUCACCAAGGCAUCGACGGGUAGCUGGUCUGAGAGGAUGAUCAGCCACACUGGGACUGAGACACGGCCCAGACUCCUACGGGAGGCAGCGGUGGGGAAUCUUGCGCAAUGGGCGAAAGCCUGACGCAGCAACGCCGCGUGCGGGAAGAAGGCCCUCGGGUUGUAAACCGCUUUCAGUAGGAAC
rnacentral:rRNA from 1 species